AUUGAACGCUGGCGGCAGGCCUAACACAUGCAAGUCGAGCGGAUGAAGGGAGCUUGUGCCUGGAUUCAGCGGCGGACGGGUGAGUAAUGCCCAGGAAUCUGCCUGGCAGUGGGGGAUAACGUCAGGAAACGGGCGCUAAUACCGCAUACGUCCAGAGGGUGAAAGUGGGGGAUCUUUGGACCUCACGCGAUUAGCUGAGCCUAGGUCGGAUUAGCUAGUUGGUGGGGUAAAGGCCUACCAAGGCGACGAUCCGUAACUGGUCUGAGAGGAUGAUCGGUCACACUGGAACUGAGACACGGUCCAGACUCCUACGGGAGGCAGCAGUAGGGAAUAUUGGGCAAUGGGCGAAAGCCUGAUCCAGCCAUGCCGCGUGUGUGAAGAAGGUCUUCGGAUUGUAAAGCACUUUUAGUUGGGAGGAAGGGCAGUAAGUUAAUACCUUGCUGUUUUGACGUUACCAACAGAAUAAGCACCGGCUAACUUCGUG
rnacentral:rRNA from 1 species